AACGAACGCUGGCGGCAUGCCUAACACAUGCCAGUCGAACGAGACCUUCGGGUCUAGUGGCGCACGGGUGCGUAACGCGUGGGAACCUGCCCUUAGGUUCGGAAUAACUCCCCGAAAGGGGUGCUAAUACCGGAUAAUGUCUUCGGACCAAAGAUUUAUCGCCUUUGGAUGGGCCCGCGUUGGAUUAGCUAGUUGGUAGGGUAAAAGCCUACCAAGGCGAUGAUCCAUAGCUGGUCUGAGAGGAUGAUCAGCCACACUGGGACUGAGACACGGCCCAGACUCCUACGGGAGGAAGCAGUGGGGAAUAUUGGACAAUGGGCGAAAGCCUGAUCCAGCAAUGCCGCGUGAGUGAUGAAGGCCUUAGGGUUGUAAAGCUCUUUUACCCGGGAUGAUAAUGACAGUACCGGGAGAAUAAGCGCCGGCUAACUCCGUG
rnacentral:rRNA from 1 species